AAGGGAUACAGGAUGAUGUGGCAU
rnacentral:miRNA from 1 species